AUCAGGAGAAAAAUCUAAUUCUAAUUAUUCGAAGAAAUAGGAUUAUAAGGAAAAACUUAUAGUGAUUACCAUUCUUUUUUAUUUCGUACACCUUUGUGUUAAAAAGGUAGUCAGUAUACGCGAAGGGUGCUUUUCGACCUUUGAAUCGUAUGAACAAAAGUUUAAAAGUUGAACUUGCCCGCGAUCGCGUUACCUGCAUUCAAUUUUAGUAAAACUAUAACGGAAGUAAUGACUGAGAUGGAGAACUUGGUUCGUUAAAGAAAUUGUUCGAACAAAAAGGAAAGAACUCUAUCUUUGAGUUGACGUCGACCAAAUCAUAUGCAUGAUUUUCUUGGUAUAUCUCGUGGACAAUAGAUAAGACGUAAUUGCUGAAAAUGUGUUAUACAUAUUUAGUGCCGACAUUCUAAAUCUAUAAAUGAUUUUGCAUUCAUCCUCGCGAUGUAAAUAAACUGUCGAUCAUAAUUUGAUUAAAUAGUCUUGAUACAACAUUUUUUUUUGUUAAAGGGCUCAUGUCAUUACUGUGGUAUCGGCAUUAAGUGUCCCUUCAGUUUAGUUAGCUAUUUAAUCAAAUUAUAAUUCAUCUGUUUGCUUACUUUAAUAAUCAGUUCGAUCCCUAACUGAGCCACGGCCAUAUUUUCAAACACUAACUCCGCAUGCAAAUAGAAUGACCGUAAUUAUUUGAAACGAUAUAUAGAGAGCCGUAAUAAGUAAUCCUUUUAAUAUAGGGACUAGAAAUAAUACGAAAAAAAUAGAAUAACAAAACGUGGGGCGUAACAUCUAAGAAAGUCAUACAAAACUUAAUGUACACUUUAUAAUAUAGUUUUAUGAUAUAAAUAAAUGUUCAUAUAUAUGUUAUAAAUAAACAACUAAUCAACUUCAUCAUAAAUCAACAAGUAUCAUAUGAUUCCCUGAAUCAGGUUUUAUUUUGUUGUUGUAUAUUUGAACUAGAAGAUCUAUGGUACAAAUCAUUGUGUCUAUAUGCUUGCAUUUUUCAGCUAAAAGACUGAUGGAUGCUUGUGAAAUGGCAAAAAUAUUUGUUCCGCUCCCAUCCCUACCGCUGCCUGUAUUUAAAAAACACUGAAGUGAAGUGUUUUUUAAAUACAGGCAGUUACCUACGACAUUUUAUAAAAAGCUUGGGUUUACUGAAAUAUGUUGAACAGCAUGAACCUUCCCAUAUGUAAACAUAAAGGAUGUAACAUUAAGAAAGUACCCGCUAAAGAAACAUAUUUUUUUAGUGAGGAUAGAUAUAUAUGCCUAUCGCUAACCAUUUUUUUUAAAUAAAGAAACUGCUUAGAUGAUAGUGACCCGAAAUUUGACAUCAUAUUUCAAUUAGUAAGAGACAAGCGGAAAUAUAUAGUGAAAAGGCAAAAGUUGAAUUUCUACCUUCGUUCGUUUUUUAGCUUUAUUAUUACUAUAUCGGACUUCCACUGUUAUUAUUACUAUUAUUACAAACAUAAAUAUAUUUCAUCGUCAUCACCAGUAGCAGAAACGACACUUGCGAUGUUUCAUUUUUGAAUCAAUCAGUUCACAAGGUAUUUUACAAAAUAUGGUACACGGAUGGUGGGAUUGCAUCGUCAACUGCUAUAUAUAUAUAAUAUAAUUAUCAUAGGUGUGUAUUUGUAUGUACGCAAUUAUUGAUACUAUAUAUAUGUAUGAUGUUUGUAAAUUUACAUGUCUUUGCGUCUCUUCUAUUUAACAAGAUUCUCGUUUGCAUUGGCUCCAAUGAACAUUUAUGGACUGAGUGGUACGGAGUAUGAUAUUCACGUUUACUGCGUCAGAAUUGAUAGGAAAACGCGUUACUCACGCCGCCACUGCAGCUGUCGAUUAAACUGGAGCAGAAAAUAGUAAGCGAAUGGAUUACGGUGAAGUUGCUUGAAUCAAAGUUCUAGAUGAGCCCUGGUUCACAAUAUGCCGACCGGAUUUAAUAUUCGCCAGGCAGAUGCGCGGUUAUCGCUAAAAAAUAAGAUUGGUAUAUUGGAGAAUAAAACCGUAUAAAUUUCACAUUUGUAAAGUGUUAUUCGAACAACAAGGGCAUGGAUGAUUCAUAAAAUAAGGAUUAUUCAGCUGCCUUUUUGCUGCAAGGAUUGAUAAAAAUAACUCCUGGUUUGGAUUUUUAGUAAGAAAUCCAGUGAAACAGAAAAUCUUCAUUAAAAAAAUCCGAACAUAUUUCUUGACUAUAGAAAGUCAGUGUUUGUAACCUGUUCGCGGCAAGCAGCUGCGUUUUCCUUGUGCGAUACAAGACGCAACCUUUGAGAAGGCUGACAGUUCUACCUAGCUAAUUAGCUGACGCCUUUAACUGAUGAGCUUUCUACGCUCUUCUUUCUUUGAACGCUGCCAUAAUAAUAACGUGCACACGUUAUAGUUAUUCACUCUCGGUAUUUGAGCACAUAAAGAAACCAAGUUUUUUCAAAGCUCUUCCGCCGCGACGAUAUCUGUCAAAAACUUUAUUGUGUUAAGCUAAACGUUUUUUAUGCACAUUUAGUCUUAAACUGACAGACGUAUAUAUACAGCAGACCCACAAGGAGAUAUGAAACAGAACAGAUAAGGCGUCUGGCUAAGAUACAGUAUAAUGCAUUGAUUAAUGUCAUAGUCAAUUGUUCAUCAUAGUUACCACAUCAUCAAGCAUUUUACUAACGACACGAUUUUUGUCCUUUCGUUGGUCACCGACAUGAUUCGUACCUUUUUUUCUCACACUUCACUAAUAUAUUUAUUCUUUUUCAAACUGCAGUUUCUGCGACCUGUUCCCCAGGUUACUUUCCUUCGUUUCCUUGAUUUGCUUAGCAAUCAAACUAUAAGGGUACUGUUUGAUUGGCACGAUUUUGCAAUAAACAUAAUGAGGAAAUAGUUUACAUAUACCCGCUUUGCUGUACAAACGAACUUUUUUUUCUAGAACUAGGAAAGUUAUAAGUUACGAACUUUUGAGGGCGUAUGUUGGCAACCGUUUUGUCGUGCCGUUUUCCGUAAGCUGUAAGUUCACUAUUGCGCUCACUUAUUAUUGUCAUUUCAUUUAGCAUCGUUCGUCUCAAUUGUGUAGUUCAUAACAUAUAGAAUUAGAUCACUACGAAAAAUGCCAUCUGCUUAUUUAUUAACAAAUAAAACAAAGAACACAAGUAUCUGAUUCAACAUUUCUGUUUCCUUAGAAAAUAGAUUGAUCUUUUAACCCGGCAAUUAGCUUCUCAUCUUGUUCCUUUUUUUUUUUUGGCUAAUGA